rnacentral:rRNA from 1 species
AAUAUUGCGCAAUGGGGGGAACCCUGACGCAGCAACGCCGCGUGAAGGAAGAAGGCCUUCGGGUUGUAAACUUCUUUGAUGAGGGACGAAACAAAUGACGGUACCUCAAGAACAAGCCACGGCUAACUACGUGCCAGCAGCCGCGGUAAUACGUAGGUGGCGAGCGUUGUCCGGAAUUACUGGGUGUAAAGGGCGUGUAGGCGGGGAUGUAAGUCAGAUGUGAAAUACCAUGGCUCAACUGUGGGGCUGCAUCUGAAACUACAUUUCUUGAGUGCUGGAGAGGAAAGCGGAAUUCCCAGUGUAGCGGUGAAAUGCGUAGAUAUUGGGAGGAACACCAGUGGCGAAGGCGGCUUUCUGGACAGUAACUGACGCUGAGGCGCGAAAGCGUGGGGAGCAAAC